GAGGUGCAGAUUUGCACGGCUGGCCUCAGCGGGAGGCGCGGAAAUGCAAGCCGAGCUUGCUGGCUAGGAAGCCCCCGAGGCCUGGCACCCCCCAAAACGACCCCCCACCUCAAUUCCUGCCCCCAUUGCCCACGGCCCCCACGGGCCACCCCUCUUCCUCUUCCUUCAUCCACCCCACCCCAUUACCUACGUGGCCGACCCAAAUUCAAAGAGCUUUGUAUAUAUAAUUGUUUUUUCUGCUGCAUAUCUUGUUUUUUUUUGGGGGGGGGGGGUGCUGGGGGUGGCGAUCCUCUCCAGACCCCCAUAUGCGGACCUGCCAUGUGGAGGAGGCAUUUGGGGGCUCAGGAAGAAAUUAGCGCAGCUCCAUACCUGUACGGACUGCAUAACUUUUAAACUCCCGGACUCAAAGAUACGGACCCACACACACGCAGGUACAGGAAAUAACAGCCAGACCAGAGCCUUUUCAGACCCGAGCUGACCGGAAGACGUUGCAUUUCAUUCAUUCAUCCUGCCCGCGUCUGUGGAGUCCUUUACUAGGCGACGAGCCCUGGAACACAAGUUGGACAGUUUUUAAAGGUCCCUGCGCUCGCCAAGAGAAGGAAAUAGAUGCUCAGGAGUGAAAUACCGAGAGAAUCGGAUCUGGCGCCUCCUAACGCAGCUGGCAAGCAGGCGAAGGUAUCAGGGCAGCUUACAUACAGCCUGAGCGUCUGGUUUCGGGCAUUUGGGGAAGACUUUGCGAGAGUUCUACAUCUCUCUGAGCGAGGAUCUGAAGGAAACUUGGAAAUAACAGGAAAUGUCCCGGGGCUCCUGGAUGGCUCAGUCGGU